rnacentral:lncRNA from 1 species
UUCGGUUACUUAUGCCCAUAAAUUACAAUCCACUCAUGCUAUUCGCUCAUGUUGAUGAAAAGUUAACAGUAUAAUGACGAUUUAAACAACAACAUUAAAAACAAUUUGUCAUGUUUGCGACUGUUACUUUUAACAAGCGGUAGGUAGCGCUGCGGUUCUUCCUUUUUUUUUUCUUUUUCCCGCGCCCCACAGAGAGGAAAAAAAAAGGCUCCACGCAUUUGGUUUUCUUCACGCAGCAACGUGAUCGGCGUGUUUUCGAUGAUCUCGACGCUCAGCAAGAUCCAUUGUGCAGUGUUAAAUUCAGAGAUGUUUUCCUCAUCGUCUACAGCAGUGAAUUCUCUUGUGCGCUUCGUCGUUUCCGCCCGCUGAAUAUCGACGAAUUUGACAAAGAACUCUGCGAAGUCUUCCCGGCUGGCGAGGAAAACGCCAGCACCCACCUACUGCAGAUGAACCAAACUGAGGAAGGGAUGGAGGAGGCGUGAGUCGAACAACAACCGACGUGUGCCGCGGGAACUCGGCGAUGCUCAACUGGUACCGGGAUCACGAAAAACUACUACUAGAUUGAUCUCUUUUUCAAAGGGAACCUGAUUACAAACUGUGGAGAGAGGCUGCAAGCAGCUUGGAUACACUACUUCAAACUUUGGAGAGGAAGACAAACCAGCGUUUACAG